UACAGAGGGUGCGAGCGUUAAUCGGAAUUACUGGGCGUAAAGCGUGCGUAGACGGUUUCGUAAGUCAGAUGUGAAAUCCCUGGGCUCAACCUGGGAACUGCAUUUGAGACUGCAUGGCUAGAGUAUCGAAGAGGGAAGUGGAAUUUCCGGUGUAGCGGUGAAAUGCGUAGAUAUCGGAAGGAACACCAGUGGCGAAGGCGACUAUCUGGAUAGAUACUGACACUGAGACACGAAAGCGUGGGGAGCAAACAGG
rnacentral:rRNA from 1 species